AUUGAACGCUGGCGGCAGGCCUAACACAUGCAAGUCGAGCGAGCGGCGGACGGGUGAGUAAUGUAUGGGGACUGCCCGAUAGAGGGGGAUAACGACUGGAAACGGUGGCUAAUACCGCAUACUAUCGGAUAACCCAUAUGGGAUUAGCUAGUGGGUGGGGUAAAGGCUCACCUAGGCGACGAUCCGUAGCUGGUCUGAGAGGAUGAUCAGCCACACUGGGACUGAGACACGGCCCAGACGCCUACGGAGGCAGCAGUGGGGAAUAUUGGACAAUGGGCGCAAGCCUGAUGCAGCCAUGCCGCGUGGUUGAAGAAGGUCUUAGGGUUGUAAAGUACUUUCAGUGGGGAGGCGUUACCCGCAGAAGAAGCACCGGCUAACUCCGUGCCAGCAGCCGCGGUAAUUC
rnacentral:rRNA from 1 species